rnacentral:tRNA from 1 species
CGCAGGAUGGAGCAGUCUGGUAGCUCGUCAGGCUCAUAACCUGAAGGUCGCUGGUUCAAAUCCGGCUCCUGCACCCA